ACCAUUAUCAAGCGAUCAAAAGAUCUGGUCCACCAUUCCACCAUGCUCCUCAGCUGCAGCUUCAUCUAUUUUUGCCCCCUCCUUAACCUCACGAACAGGGAAGAGGAAAACAAUCGGCAGGGAGGGGGGAGAUUUGAACUUUUGAGGAAGCUGUGUGUUAUACGAUGAUACCGCAACAAUGGUCGUCUCCUUGUGGAAACCAAUGCACGCAGAAAUACGCAGCCCUCACCAAGAUUCCUUGGCGGGUAUUUUGCAAAAAGGGGUGUGAUGCUGAUGGAGAUGCUUGGGAAGAAUGCUUGGAGGAAUGCACUGAGAUAUGCUAUAAGGAUCCUGUAUUUAAGGACCACCAAUGGAGUGCUUACAUUGACCGAUCUCCUGGGUCUGCCAGUUACUCAGAGGAAUGUUUUCAUGCAUGCGCAUCUGGUUGCGGCUUUAAGUUUGAUGUCGAUUCUGGGACAGCUGACAAAAUUCAAGCAAACAGGCCUGUGAAACCCGUGCCUAUUGUUUCGAAACCAGCGCCACGACCUCCAAUCACUGAACCUGUUGCCAAAAAUGAAGAUUUACCAAGCACUUCUGCAUAGCAACACAAAAUGCAGAUUAAUGAGGAAGCAUGCCUCAAGAAAAUUAUAGUCAGCUUACGUCUACUGCUGCUAUCUUCUCCAACGCACGAGCUUCAUUAUUCUGUUGGGUUAUAUAUUACGACACUCGCUGGAUCGUGCAAUCCUUCCUUGUGUGAAAGAACUUGGGUUCCUGACAUAGAUGUGUCCCGUAUGCUGAGUUGCUGAUUUCUAUGUUGUACUGUCCAUUGCUCUGGCUUCAAAAGUCAGCGAUUUUGUGAAAUGAUAUUACAUUAUAGGGAUUCUUACAGCAGCUUGAGUUACUUCUUUGCAUUUA